rnacentral:rRNA from 1 species
GACGAACGCUGGCGGCGUGCUUAACACAUGCAAGUCGAACGGCAAGGCCCUGCUUGCAGGGUGCUCGAGUGGCGAACGGGUGAGUAACACGUGGGUGCUCUGCCCCUUACUUUGGGAUAAGCCUGGGCAACUGGGUCUAAUACUGGAUAGGACCAUGCUGUAGGUGGUGUGGUGGAAAGAUUAGUUUCGGUAAGGGAUGAGCUCGGGGCCUAUCAGCGUGUUGGUAGGGUAGUGGCCUACCAAGGCGUCGACGGGUAGCCGGCCUGAGAGGGUGGACGGCAAGAUUGGGACUGAGAUGCGGGGCAGACGCCGACGGUAGGGAGCAGUGGGCAAUAGUGCACAAUGGGCGCAAGGCUGAGGCAACGACGCCGCGCGGGGGGUGACGGCCUUCGGGUUGGAAACUCCUUUCGGCCAUGACGAAGCCCUUGUGGUGACGGUAGUGGUAGAAGAAGCACCGGCUAACUACGUG